rnacentral:rRNA from 1 species
ACCCCCGUGAGUACGCCCUCGACCCCCCGCCCGGGGAUCAGGAGCGAGCAUCAGGCACACAAAUCCUAGCCCAAGACGCCCAGCCAAGCCACACCCCCAAGGGAAUUCAGCAGUGAUAAACAUUAAGCCAUGAGUGAAAACUCGACUCAGUCAGGGUUAACAGGGCCGGUAAAACUCGUGCCAGCUACCGCGGUUAAACGAGAGGCCCCAGUUGAUAAUACCGCGGCGUAAAGGGUGGUUAAGGGCUCCAACCAAUAAAGCUAAAUAGCCCCCCGGCCGUCAUACGCUUCCGGGCGCUAGAGACCCAAUUGCACGAAAGUAGCUUUAGUAACACUCACCUGACCCCACGAAAGCUGAGAAACAAACUGGGAUUAGAUACCCCACUAUGCUCAGCCAUAAACCCAGACAUCGAAGUACAAUUGUAUGUCCGCCAGGGCACUACGAGCAUUAGCUUGAAACCCAAAGGACCUGACGGUGCCUCAGACCCCCCUAGAGGAGCCUGUCCUAGAACCGAUAACCCCCGUUUAACCUCACCACUUCUGGUCUCCCCA